UACGUAGGGGGCAAGCGUUGUCCGGAUUUAUUGGGCGUAAAGAGCGUGUAGGCGGCCAAGCAGGUCCGCUGUGAAAACUCGAGGCUCAACCUCGAGACGUCGGUGGAAACCGUUUGGCUAGAGUCCGGAAGAGGUGAGUGGAAUUUCCGGUGUAGCAGUGAAAUGCGUAGAGAUCGGGAGGAACACCAGUGGCGAAGGCGGCCUUCUGGACCAAUACUGACGCUCAUGCACGAAAGCGUGGGGAGCAAACAGG
rnacentral:rRNA from 1 species